UACAGGGGGGGCAAGCGUUGUUCGGAAUUACUGGGCGUAAAGGGCUCGUAGGCGGCCAACUAAGUCCGACGUGAAAUCCCAAAGCUUAACUUUGGAACUGCGUCGGAUACUGGAUGGCUUGAAUUCGGGAGAGGGAUGCAGAAUUCCACGUGUAGCAGUGAAAUGCGUAGAUAUGUGGAGGAACACCGAUGGCGAAGGCAGCCCCCUGGGAUGUGACUGACGCUCAUGUACGAAAGCGUGGGGAGCAAACAGG
rnacentral:rRNA from 1 species